GUCUGGGAAAGACACAGUCUCCUCAGACCUGAAUGUCACAUCAUUCCAGGCGUAUACUUUGGGAGGUACACAGACCCACUGUAGCACCUUCAGAUGGUGACAAGGAAGGCCAAUUAAAAGAAUGUCCAAAGAAAGGAGUACUCAUCAUGAGAUAAAACACCAGCAGAGGAACGAAAGCUGCUUCAAACAGAACCGUCAUCCCCUCUCAUGUGGCAAAUGCAGCUGGGUAUGUGGUCAGUGCAAUCUGUACUUCUACAGCCACCAGCCUGCAGGCUGGACCCCAUUAGAGUGAAGAACGGAACCCCUGCUAGCCAGCCUCAGG
rnacentral:lncRNA from 1 species